rnacentral:rRNA from 1 species
GACGAACGCUGGCGGCGUGCUUAACACAUGCAAGUCGAACGGUGACGAGGAGCUUGCUCCUCUGAUCAGUGGCGAACGGGUGAGUAACACGUGAGCAACCUGCCCCAGACUCUGGGAUAACAGUUGGAAACAGCUGCUAAUACCGGAUACGAGACGGAGAGGCAUCUCUACCGUCUGGGAAAGUUUUUUCGGCUGGGAUGGACUCGCGGCCUAUCAGCUUGUUGGUGAGUAAUGGCUCACCAAGGCGACGACGGGUAGCCGGCCUGAGAGGGCGACCGGGCCACACUGGGACUGAGACACGGCCCAGACUCCUACGGGAGGCAGCAGUGGGGAAUAUGCACAAUGGGCGAAAGCCUGAUGCAGCGACGCCGCGU